rnacentral:rRNA from 1 species
GAUGAACGCUAGCGGCAGGCCUAACACAUGCAAGUCGAGGGGCAUCAUGGCGUAGCAAUACGCUGAUGGCGACCGGCGCACGGGUGCGUAACGCGUAUGGAACCUACCCACCGCAGGGGGAUAACCCGCCGAAAGGCGGACUAAUACCCCAUGGUUCCCCGACCCUGCCUGGGGUUGGGGGUAAAGCCUACGGGCGGCGGUGGAUGGCCCUGCGUGCCAUUAGCUGGCUGGUGGGGUAACGGCCCACCAGGGCGACGAUGGCUAGGGGGUCUGAGAGGACGAUCCCCCACACUGGUACUGAGACACGGACCAGACUCCUACGGGAGGCAGCAGUGAGGAAUAUUGGUCAAUGGGGCGGAAGCCUGAACCAGCCAUGCCGCGUGCAGGAUGACGGCCCUACGGGUUGUAAACUGCUUUUCCACGGGAAGAACCCUCCGACGUGUCGGAGACUGACGGUACCGUGGGAAUAAGCAUCGGCUAACUCCGUG